rnacentral:lncRNA from 1 species
UCGACGUCGACUCCACCAUGUGCACAUCCGUGUUUUUUUGCUAUAUUUUUUUGCUGUUUCUAUCCUCAAGUCUCGAUCGGGUGGGAGGUUUGAAGCGAACGAAGCUUCUCCCGAAAUUCUUUCAAUCCUCCCACGGUCCCACUCCACACGGUUUCGCUCCACAUGGCAAAAUAAUUUUUAUCCACAUGACAAAUGGAGACAACCCAACGCUGUUGCUCCAUUUUAUAUAUAUAUAAU